UUUGGGCUUCUAUCUUGAUGUAAGCAGUCACUAUCCCCUUCUCGGCUUCGAUUCAAACUCACCUGGUGGCUAAGAUUAUUUGGGUUGUCAGCAGUUAAUAACCACUAUUACCUUUAACAAUAGCAGUAAAGGAAAACCUAAAUGGUUAAUGUAGACACUUGUGUAUGUGGCUUUGCUUCAAACAGAAUAAGGCAAGCAGCAUUGUUAUGACCCCAAAAGGAUAGUUAACUAAUGUGUGAUAUAAAUAAUUUACCUUUGGAUGAUAUGCAGAGAGGGCCACUCUUAAAUAUACGUGGUUAUGAGGUAAUUCGUUGCUAUGUGAUGCAUCGUUUGGUCCUGCUCUAGUGUUGAUUUGCCUUCUUUUGCUCGGCUCAUGUUGCGUUUGGCUUGGAGACUACUGAAAUGGAAAUGUGUUGGAGCGAUUAUGUGUUGCAGAUGAGGAAGUGAUAGGUUCGGAAAAUGACAAUAUUUACCUAUCUCUCAUCUCUACUGUAUUCAUCGUCACUCUGUUCCAUACACUAAGAAACGUGAAGUCUGCCGGUUGCCACUCGCGCUGCUGCUCUGCUUGGAGGCGUCGUCGCCGACUGGAGGAGCGCCGAAUCAUCGUCCUCGAGUUCGUGCACUUCAGGAAAAAGAUGGCCCGAGGUGAGACGCCACGCAUCCGCCGUGCAAAGGUAGAGCUUGACAUAUAGGUCAGUGUGUGUGUGUGCAACAGCUAUAGAGAGACCAACGUCGAGGUACCCACUGCUCCUGUUGAUGAUAGCCUGCCGUAGGUACGAAUCAGGUCCCUAGACCAUUAUGAGCCCUAAUUUUCAUGGAGCAAGGUGCAGCUUGCUGCUUUUUCUUUUGGUAAAAAGGAAUCCCUAUUGUUAUGUUGGUAGCCUCUUUGCAAGUUUAUUAUGCCUUUUUGACAUUUUUUGUUCUAUCUUGCUAUGCAUUGUAUCAUAUUACAGUUGUGUGCUCAAACCAACUGAGCUUAAUUCACGUAUAUAGAUAUUUAAGAAUGUGGGGAUGAGGCCCAAUUGGCAAGGUUUGCAAUAUUGUAGGAAUCAUUUGGAGAUGGGUUGUAGAUAUUAAGCUAUGUAGGAGAUGAUUUUGAGGUAACAAGCCUUCGGCUUGCUUUCUGUUAACCUUUUUAUGCAUGAGUUCGGUUUGAUGCAAUCUAGGCAUUGUUUGUUGUCGAAUGGAUUAUUUUUUCCUGCUAGGUAACAUCUGAUGCUUAGAAUGCACUAUUUCUGAUGGCCCAGAAAAAAACUCUGUGUACAUAUUGUUUUGUUUAUAUGCAUACAAGAUGCAUGUUUAUGCCUCAUGCCUGCUGAUUUAUAUGACCGAGGAACUCUCUUUCUUCCUAGAUGUGCCCAUAUGCCCUUCAUUGAUAUAGCAUCUCCGUACUUGUAUAUUAUUCACAUAUAGCAUCUCAUUUCUUGGCUGAUUGCUUAUAUAUAUAUAUUCAACUUCUGUUUCCUGGCAUUCGCAUAUUACAAGCUAAAUAAAGUUUGCCAUUCCUUUUGGCCACUUAUAGAUGUAACUAGAAGCCUGGAUGAUCUGUGAUGCUGGCAAUUGUCAGAUUGCAUCCAUUUAAUUAUAGCACAAUAUAUCACAUUUGUGGUAAAUUUAGCAAAGCUUGUGCCUAUCCUUUUAGUAGUCAAUAUGGUUCAGAUGCAGUAUUUUUUAUUUCCUUUUUUUUUGCUUUCAGCACACACAUAUGGCAUUGAAGUAGGCAGAGUAGUUGUGUCACUUACUGAUGCUCUUAUGGUACACAGUACACUAUUAAGGUGUUGGGCCCAGAAACAGGAAGAGUAAUCCUAUUCCAAGUAAAUGAUGCCCAGAGGUGGAGGAAUUUGGAUGAUCUAUAGUCAAAGGAUACCAUCAAGCAAGAGGACGCACAAGGAGGGUCGCCCCGGAGUAGAGGUAGAGGACGUUGCCAGUUGCAUCUCUCUCUGACCUGAAGCCCACCUUGGCAUGGAUGUGACCAGUGUUGAUCCCCAACAUCGGCAAGCAUUUGUGUUCAAGUUGAUCUGGAACAAUUUGAAGGGUUUCCUCGACACAAAAUCUUCAGCCAAGGUUUACUUAAGCACCUCCAAUUAUGUAUAGAAGUUUAAAAUUGUACUUGUUUCAGGUUCUUCGCCACAUUAUGUAUGCUUUGUUAAAUUUUUUUAAUAAUUGGACCUAUUUGCUAUGUGGAACA